rnacentral:lncRNA from 1 species
CCCAGGUUUAAAACACAUUCUGCUGGGGCAGAAGGCGUUAACGUGUAUCUAGAUGCAGAAACCUUUUCCCCUUUGAACGCCGAGGCAAAUCCGGGGAUUUUAGGCGCGGAAGGAAACCUCUUUACUCAGCCGCUCUGGGCAGCCUACCGGGCUCCGAAACUCCCGAGGCAAAGCCGGAAGAACCUCUCCUUCCCUCCGUCCCACGGAAGGAGCUCCGACUAGGGGAAAGUCCUGAAGGGAGAAAUCUCCAAGGCAACGAGGAAUUUCAAACGGCCGAGGCUAUCCAGAUCAGCAUCGGCAUCUUUCAGUUGUUCUUGGGGAUCCUGUGGUUCUACCUCUACCUGACCCAGUUUGCAGACUCUUUUCUCACUUACAAGACCUUAAUUUGGAAUGCGAAAUACCCAUUAUUAUCAGCGUUUAUCUAGGUGCUUCCAUCAGCGAGCAUUUAAACAUCAGGGCUUAGUAAAAGAAGGAAGUGAACUGGAGGAGUUUUAUUUGGAAAGUGAUGUGGUUCUUCUCAUAAACCUGAGCAAUCUCUGCCACCAAGUCCCCACCCUGAUGAUGAAGGCAUAGCAACACCACAUAGCUGAGAACCACAACCAUUGACAAAUAAAAGUUAUAGAUGAUACA